CUCAUCUUCACCAUCGUGGUGGACGUCCUGGGCAACCUGCUGGUCAUCCUGUCGGUGUAUCGGAACAAGAAGCUCCGGAACGCAGUUCAAGCCAUUUGAGAAUUUCUGGACUCGAUGGUGAUUUGAAACAGUGAUAAGGAUAGCUGAUUCAAAUGAUGAAAUGAUGGGAAGAAGAGAAUGGAAGAAAUGAGAAGGCGAAAGCGUCUAGGCUUUGAACCGUCACUUUCCUUUGGAAAGCUGGUAUAAUUGCUGUGAUUUCUGCCACCUUCCUCCCCUCAAGGGACUGUGUUGACAUUUGAUUUCCCAGAGAAUAAAUUGAAAAUGGCUAACAACCUGCAUGGCAGGGACACUGGACAGCCACAGCCGAAGUAAGCUGCAACCACUGGCAUCUGUGGUGCCAACAGAAUAUUCGCUCUACUCUUGUCCACAAUUUGAUGAUAGAAGUGAUACUGCCAUAUCAUAUCUUCUGAGUAAAUUUGAUAGCAUAAUGGACGAUUCCUGCAGUGGAACGCUAGAAUUAGAUCUUUGCUGUGCACCUUCUGAUUUCAGAAAUCAGCGAAGCUGAAUACCAAACUUCAUUUUCCACAUUUGUCGAAUUGCAGAUAAUACCUAACCUUUUAGCCUCAUAAGAGUGUUGCAAUGACUGUAGUGAAAUGGCGCAUAUGAGAAUACUUUGAAAAGGAUAAAACAAGUAAUACUGUGUUGGCUUGUUUGUUUUCUGGGUACACCUAACAAAGGUGUGCUCUGUUUGUUGGAAAUCAUUGCGCUAUAGACCUAUGAUUCAUGCACUUUUCUAUAUGUACAUUAUACUUAAAUAAAACUUAUUUUACAAAGUAUCAGGCAAGAGUACAAUACUAUCUUGCCUAUUCAAAAUUCAAUUAUCUGGCAAUCUAACUGAGGUAGAAUACAGCCAAUAAAUGGAAAUUAGCAAAAAUGACAGGCUCUCACCUACAGAUUUGUUCUGACUUAGAGUGCCACAAAGCUGUGAUGCUGGUGUGUAGUUCCCUGUAGAUUAUGAGCAGGAAGUUAGGAGGAAGAUUGACACAGUUAAAGAAAUAGCACAUCAUAGCAAGCAGCAUGGGUUGAAAUAGACUCAUUAAAAGUAGGUCUGAGAAACAGAACAAGCACAACCUUUUGUGUUUACAUUGUGAGAAUGCAAAUAACCCUGCUCACCAUUAACUGCUCCUGAAAGCGGCACAGUGCAGGAACGCAUUUAUUAUCAUCACCCGAUUCACCAGCGAGAGGUGUCAUCAUGAGUGGUGUGUUCUUCUUAAGAAGACAGGGAUAUAAUAUAUUUUAGAAAGACACCUGUCAAAAGCAGUUUAUUAUUAUUAUUUAAUCUGUGUGCACAGUAGGGUAAACUUGUCAGUAUAUGUUUAAAAAAAAAAAAAAGUAGUUUCCCAGGAUGGCUCUAUGGCUGGAUGGCUGACACUGUGCUAAGCCUCUCUUGCACUUGUUUCUUUUAGGUCUCUAUAGAAUGUUAUAAUUAUCCAUUCUGCAUUACCACUCAGAGAGGAUGCAAAGAGUAUGGAACGAAUGUGGACUUUGGGCCUCAGAGAUCUGGUUCAAAUCUUGGAUGUACCACAGCUGUUUUAAGAUGCCGCUUAUCUUAUAGGGAUACUAGAAGGAUAAACUUAGAUUCUGCCCAUCAGUCCACCUACUUACCCAUCCACCCACCUAUACAUCCACCCACCCAUUCAUCCAUCCACCCACCCAUCGUCCAUCCAUUCAUCCAUCUAUCCAUCCAUCCAUCCAUCUACCUACCCACUUACCUAUCAUUUUGAGGUACAAAUAAUAGUAUUAUGAUGUUAUUACUAGUAUGCAUCCAAUGACUAGUUCUUUUUAGGUUGUUUUUAUUUUUUAAAUGUUCAUUUAUUUUUAAGUGUAUGUUUUAAAAAAACAAGUAGACAAUGUGAACUGGAAGAGUGAAAUCAGUCAGAAAUGGAAGGGUUAGAACUGAAUUCCCAUUUGUGAUGUUAUGCAAAAUACACAAAAUCUCCAUUGUCUGACUUUUCCCUUUUGCAACAACCAUUAUCUCUCUGCAACAAGAAGGCCUGAGAUUUAAAGACUGAUUAUUUCGAUAUCGGCUGUUCUCUAAUUUUAAGUGAAUCAGCUCUAGAAGCAACAGUGGCUUCCUUGGGCAAGCAUGCUACUAUUCAAAAACGUACGCCCUAACUUGUACUGUGCAGACUUGGAAAAUGAUUUCAAGCUAACCCCGCUUCACGCGAUCUCCAGGCCGAGAGGUUUCUUACUGGCGCCGCAGUAGUUCCCUCCUGUAGCUUUCCACAGUAUUUCAAAUUACUGACUCAAAGCAAUUUUUUACCCUAGAGACAUUUUAUUGAUUUUUCCCCCUUGUAUUCUUAGCUGUUGUUCAGAUUUCUAUGACUUUCUAUCCUGGUUUGUAUAGUACAUUGUUAUGGAACUCUAAGUUUUUACAAAUAGGUCAAAGUAAUUCCCAGAAUCCCCGUAGUUUCAGACUCUCAGGUACAUGAUUGAAUUUGGGUCUGAUCUUUGGUUCCUCCAGCAAUUCAUUUCAUAAGAAAGGAUUUCUGGCAGGAAUUUUCGGUGUUACAUUCAUCGCAGAAAAGAUAGAGCUUACUUUUGCUGGCUUUCAGCAUCAUUUUUCUCUUGGCAAUUUUGGAAGUUAACCAAGGAUAAAAUAGUCUUAGAUUAAACCUCCUGCUAUUAGUAUUUACUGCCAUUUGAUGGUUCUGUUUAAAAAAUAUCUGCAUUGAAAGCUAUCGUGCCUUGGAAGUCACUUUAAAUCUCCACACAGUCUUUGGAGCUCAUUCUACCCAUUCUCCCUUAGCACCUUUAAAAAAUAAUCACCAGAAUAACUGAAGUGAAUGGUAAGAUCUUUACAAGGUGCCUUGAGUUUUCCCUUUUUUUCUAAGUAUUUGUAAGUUGCCUUGCUGAUAGAAAUACCCUUUCUUCUAAAAAGGAAAUUGACAUACUCCUUUAGAGUUUUCUAGUACCAACGAAGCAAUUCAUGGAUUGUUGUUAAAGAAGCAUUUAUGCAUGCACAGAGCUCUGCACGGUAUCAUUGGCGCCAUCUCUGCCUCUUCGUGAAGGUAAUCAGCCGCCUCACUUCUGCCUCUCUCACAUAAUCACGUUGACCAGAAACCUGAGGGCUGUAUGUGAUAUCUCUGUGAUUUUUAGUGCAAUUAAAUAAUGCUGCAGAUUAGAAAUAAACUGCUGGAUUCUCUGGAUGAAGUGCUCAAACACUUGUCUUUCUACAGAGCUGUACACUUCCAGCAAUCACAUUGAAGGAAUCAGUCUCAGAAGAAAAGACAGGAAAUAAAAUGCAUUUGCAUGGUGCUGAAUAUUAUUCAGGUUAAUGGAGGUGAAUUUGAGUUGUUAAGCAAACGGUUUAAAAGCGUGCUCACUUGCUUUGACACUGAGUAGUUUUGGUGCUUAUUGAAUUGAAUAUGUAUCUGGAUAAAUACUUACUGCAUUCCUACAGUAUAAGGCAGAAUGUAAAUGGUUGGUAAAUUUUUGAGGAUUUGUAAAAAUUCAAGGUCCUGUGCUAAGCUUGGGUCAAACGCGGUUUCUACUUUCAAAGAGAUGACUUUCUAUCAAGGCACUUUCGAAAUGUGUGUUCUUUUUAUUUUCAAACAAAGAUAAGACAUGGAGCACAAAGGUAUGAAAAUAGGAGCAUAUUUAUAUAGCAGAAAACUUUUUCGAGAGAAAUGUGAAAGUUGGUUGGUAGAUGGUAGCUGGGGCUUAAAGCAAUCAUGAGAAUGUUUUAAAGUUGUUAUCUUAGGAGGAGAGAACAAUGUCAUAAGUGGGAGAUGUGAAAACCAGUUCACAUGUGAGAUGGCAGCAGAUGGAGACAGAAUUAGUGAGAGAAUUUCGAAGAAACUGAUGAGUGAUGGAGACACAGCGUAACAAUUAGAGAAGAACGCACGGGCUUCAGGUCUUUUGAAGAAACGGCUGCUGGAGAACGAGCUGCAAACUUCCAUUUAUACUUGUUUUCCUACAUAGUUAUUAAGUGGUGGAUUAUGAAAAUGUGUAAUCGGUAAUUAGUAUUUCCUCUUUGAUGAUUUUCUGAACAUGUUUAGGAAUACAGAACUCUUACGAUCUUGGAAGGGAUAAUGUGCCUUCAUCCUUCAUGCAUUAAUUCCCUCCUUUAUUUAAAUACUUGCUGGAUGCCUCCUAUGUCCAUCUAUAGGAGCUUAGGACACGAUUUUGUUUCAAGAGAAAAUUCUGGUUCACUCGUUUUUAUUUUAAGAUGUAGUUUAAAUUGCAAUUUUUACUUUUAAGAUUUUUUUGCUAGUUAGUUUUCAUUCCAUUUUUUCCUUUUAUUAUUUACUUACCUUUUUAGCUCCUUAAAUUGUUCCCUCUGAAUUUGGAAUACUUUCAGCUUUUCUGAUUUGUGUAUAUGUCUGUUUAGGUAUCAUACAGUCUUUUACCAUGUACUUUUUUUUAAAGAUUGUUUUACGUAUAUAAUAUCUAUAUCUUUAUAGAUUGAGCAUUCCUUAUCUAUGGAAGAUUAGUGCUAUUAUAGGUCACAUUUGUUGUAGUAUGUCCCUCUGAAGCACAUGGCCUCAGGAACCUACUGCCUGGAGCGAAAUCCUGGCUCUGCCAUCCCAUGUGUGUGACGUUAGGGCAAGUGACCUAAUUUGCUCGGUUUCCUCACUUGUUAAUUUGGGACAAUACUAAUAUUGUAAGAACUAGAUGACUUGCCGUAUACUUAAAGUGCGUUAUGAUUUAAAUAUAACAUUCCCAGAAGCAGAAUAAAUUCCUUUUGUUAUUUAGUAUUCUUGGUGUGGAGUUCUGAUGUGUAAAUAUAUUUUUAUUUUUAAGGCAGAAUGCAAUAUUUCACACUUACAGGUCUUUAAAUAGUCUAAGUAUAUAAAAAUGGAGUCAAAGUUUUAACUUUUAAAAAAUUACUUUUAUGACAAUAUUAUUUUAUACUUUUGUAGUGUUAACUUGUUUUCCUCUCACUGAUUUAACUUUCACAUAUAAAUAGGGUUCUAUUAUGAUUGUGUCAUUUUUAAUAAAACUCUCUUUUGGAUUUA